UGGAGCAUGUGGUUUAAUUCGAAGAUACGCGAAGAACCUUACCUGGCCUUGACAUUGAUAGAAUCCUGUAGAGAUACGGGAGUGCUAGCUUGCUAGAACUUGAAAACAGGUGCUGCACGGCUGUCGUCAGCUCGCGUCGUGAGAUGUUGGGUUAAGUCCCGCAACGAGCGCAACCCUCGUCAUUAGUUGCUAACAGUUCGGCUGAGAACUCUAAUGAGACUGCCUUCGUAAGGAGGAGGAAGGUGAGGACGACGUCAAGUCAUCAUGGCCCUUAUGGCCAGGGCUACACACGUGCUACAAUGGGGUGUACAGAAAGCUGCGAUACGGUGACGUGGAGCAAAUCUCAAAAACACCUCCCAGUUCGGAUUGUUCUCUGCAACUCGAGAACAUGAAGUUGGAAUCGCUAGUAAUCGUAGAUCAGCAAUGCUACGGUGAAUACGUUCCCGGGUCUU
rnacentral:rRNA from 1 species